rnacentral:misc_RNA from 1 species
GAUGAAGAACGUAGCGAAAUGCGAUAAGUAGUGUGAAUUGCAGAAUUCAGUGAAUCAUCGAAUCUUUGAACGCACAUUGCGCCCCUUGGUAUCCCGAGGGGCAUGCCUGUUCGAGCGUCAUUUCACCACUCAAGCCUGGCUUGGUGUUGGGCGACGUCCCCUUUGGGGACGCGCCUCGAAACGCUCGGCGGCGUGGCACCGGCUUUAAGCGUAGCAGAAUCUUUCGCUUUGGAAGUCGGGGCCCCGUCUGCCGGAAGACCUACUCGCAAGGUUGACCUCGGAUCAGGCAGGGAUACCCGCUGAACUUAAGCAUAUCAAUAAGCGGAG